UCUUCUCUCCAAAUCAAAGAGGUAUAUAAAUUUCAGGUUUUCAUAAUUUUCUCCAUCCUUUCUGUUGCGGUACGACCGCUGCCCACCACCACUACACUACAUCUAUCAUCUGAUAAAUGAUCCAAAGUUUCACCACUGACCCUCUCACACUCUAGAUGAAUUAACUAAUUAUCAACUCAUCUGAUUCUUAGCCAAGCUUCAUAGAUCUGAGAAAAAUCAAACACCGAAAUGAAUUUUUGUUAAAAGUCGUACGGUUCAGGUCAAAAUCCCAGUUAGGUACACUCUAAAGAAUUGGAUGGAGAGUCAAAGAUUCAGCGACUACAUGAAAAUAACCUUUACCUACAAACUUUUCUCCAACGCAAUAUUGCUAGGAACAAGCCAACAUUCAUAAAAGAGGGAUGGCUCAAGUUCAAUAAAACUUCGAAGGCUUGAUUCAAGAGACUUAUGCCUCCACGAAGAGUAGUCAAAGGUCGUCUAACUAAGAGAUAUGUUCAGAAACAAGAGUUGCAAAAUGCAAUUGAAGUGCAACAACAAGGAAAAAUUAUCCAUGCUAAAUUCAGUGAGACUAUCUAGAUAUUAAGUCGAGCUGCGACUCAUCAAGUUAGACAUAGAGGUAAUUGAAAGGAAGUGGAUAAUACUUCAGAGAUCCGUAUGUUUUUAUAGAUGAAUUAACCAAGAUUCACAGGUUGAAGUGUCACAGAGGACCCCGAGAACUUUGCUGAAGUCCUUCAAAAAGCUUUUAACAUAUUGCAUGUUGUUGAUGCUGAGAGGGUGGAACUAGAUGCAUACCAAAUAAAGGGUAUCGCAAGAGUCUUAUUUUCCCAAUGGAAAAAGUAUAGGGCUGAGGAUGUACCAAUUGUAAGUUGGGUUGUGUUUGAGAAUUUUCUCAUGGGACGUUUCAUUCGUUGUGAGUUGCGAGAGCAAAAGAUAAGAGAGUUUCUAACCCUUAAUCCUGCGUUUAUGAGUGAUCAUGAGUACGGUCUGAAGUUUGCACAAAUUUCCUGCUACGAUCUGGAGAUGGUUGUUGACAUGAGGAGCAUAAUGAGUUUAUUUUUGGCUGGGUUGUCUCGUUAGUCAAUAAAGGAAGGAAAAAAAGCAAUGCUAAUUGGGGAUAGGCACCUAGACUUGUUUAUGAUCUAUGUACAACAAGUCUAGGAAACAAGUUCAUGCAACAAAAGAAUAAUGCCAACAGGUCCUCCCUUUAUUUAGAAGCAAAAGGGACCUACUCCAUCAUCUAUGAGUGCACCUAUACCUAAGAACAAAAGUGAGUACAAUAGUCAGAAGUUCAGAGCUAAUCCAGCCUCUUCUAAUGUCUGUAUGUCACAAAGGGAUAGUAGACCUCAUGCAUGUGGUAAGAAUGGCAGAAACCACUUCGUAUUUCUUGUGAGGGCUUUACUAGUUGUUUUAAGUGUGGUCAAAAUAGUCGUUUUCUGAGGGAGUGUCUUGAGAACUAGAAAGGUAUGGAAAUCAAGGAGAAAAGGUCCAAUCUUCUCCAGUUGCUCCACCGAAAAGAGCUGCACCUAGAGGGGCUACUUCCAAUAGCGGGGGAAGAAAAAAUCGCUUAUAGGCUAUCAACACUCGUCAAGAGCAAGAGGGUUAACUAGAUGUUGUCACUGGUGAAGUCUUUGACUUUACUGUUCAUUCUUUGCUAGACCCAGGAAUGAUUUUAUCUUUCGUAAAUCUAUAUGUUGCUAUGAGAUUUGAUGUUAUACUUGAGCAUCUUGGCGAAAUAUCCAGUGUUUUUACACCUCUUGGUCAGUCUAUUCUAAUAGAGAGAGUCUAUCGUGAUUUUCCCAUUUUCGCCAAUCACAGAAGUACCAUGACUAAUUUAGUUGAGUUAGACAUGGUAGAUUUUGUUGUCAUUCUAGGUAUUGAGUGGCUUGAUGCAUGCUAUGACUCAGUUGAAUCUAGAACUCGAGUAGUCAUUUUUAAGUUUCCAAAUGAGCCAGCCUUAGUGUGGAAAACAAUUUAGUAGUGCGGAAAAGUCUAUUUAUGUCGUACAUUAAGGCGAGAAAAUUAUUUUGUAAGGGGUGUGUAUAUCCCUUAGUCUAUGACUCUAGUGUUGAGAUACCUCCUAUUCAGUCAAUUCCAGUAGUGAAAGAGUUCCCAGAAAUCUUUCCAGAUAAUCUUCUGGGAUUCCCGCGUGAGAGAGAGAUAGACUUCAACAUAGAAGUUCGUCUAGAUACUCGUCCUGGAUCUAUCUUUCCAUAUAGGAUGGAAGCAACAGAGUUUGAAGGGUUAAAAGAAAAAUUGAAAGAUCUGUUAGAUAAGGAUUUCUUCGACCAUGUAUAUCACGUUGGGGCGCUCUGGUCUUAUUUGUGAGAAAGAAAUAUGGUUGCCUUAGGAUAUACAUAGAUUAACGCCAAUUGAACAAUGUUACGAUCUGUAACAAUCGAGGGGCACCUCCUAGUAGUUACAAGGUGUAAUCGACCCGUCGAAGGUCUCAUUCAUGCCACACGUAUCAAUCAUUGUAUACGAUACUCAAAAUAAGUAUGAAUUCAAAACUUUGUUCACGAUGAAGAAUACAUUCAUUAAUAAACAAGCGGAAUACUUUUAAAAAUAUUAUAUCUUUACAAUGUCUCAAUAAACCAUCUAUACGUUAUAAUACAACAUUUGGACUAAGCCCAUACAACACUUGAAAUAAGCACUAAAAAUGAACAUUUGGGUCUUGUCCCCGAAUCUAUGUGGACUCACCAAAGCAUUAUUUUCAACACUUCGAAACCUAUUCAUCAUCCAUGGCAUAUAAAGAACUCCAAUUCCUAAAGUUUAGUCAAAAAGGGAAAAGGAGUUAAAACAUUUAAUGCACUAAGAAUGGAACCCAUGCAAAAACCAUGAAAAAGGGACAUUUUUAGUAUGAAAACGUGCUUUCAUGACAUUUAGAUAAAACCUUCACAAUAAGAGUUUAAGCGAAAUAAAUAUACAAGUAAACAAUCCAAUAUAAGACACAUUCAAAUAACCCACAACCUACCAAAGUUUAUCCUAAGACCCACCUACAUAUGAUAUCAAGUGGCCGCCCAUACAUCCUCUUCAUAAACACCUAGGUGAUCCUCAAGACUACCCAAAGUAAGGAUAUUCCUUUUCAUCACAUAACACUUAACUACAUAUUCAUAUAAUAAGCCUUCUCAUCAUUUAUAGUCCCUAUCAAAGGUUAAUCUAAGAGUCAGUUGAGUAAGACAUGACAAGGCCACCCAUACACCCUCUUCAAGCACACCUAAGAAAUCCUCAAAGCUACCAUAGAAAAGAACCUCUCUAUUCAACAUGCUUUAACUAAAUCAACAUUAUUGGUCAAAUCCAUUUAAGAUACAACAAAACAAUUAGGGGACUUAACAUAAUGGUCUUGGAAGACCUAGGGAAUUUAUUCUAGCAUAUUCAAGGGCUACUCCUGCCAUGUAUAGAUAGUGUCAUUCCACUACAUACAUGUUGUAGAGCCCAUCCAAUACUAGAGUGUACAUCAUAUAUGAUGAGAAUAGGCAUUAAAAUUAAUAGACCAUACUAUCUAGGUAUGUAAUAUUGUGGCCUAAAACCCACACCGUGGAAGGUGUUCUACUUGACAAAGGUAGAACUAAGACUCAUCCCAUGUUUGCACAUGGUUAAGGGAUAUCAAGGGUUUCAUUAUACUCUAGUUUCAUACUUUAGUAGAGCUACUACCAUAAGCAUACCACUCGGUUUUUUUCUUUUUAUCUCAUAGAGUAAAUUCAUACACGUGAAGGUAUUCGAGAAGGUACCAUUUCUUAGUCUUACAAACUCAUAGUACCCCUACCAUGAAUGAGUAAACUAGGACUGCCACUCAAGGUCUAUUAGGGAUGUUGAUUUUUAAUUUUCUUUUCAUAUUCAAGGUUUUAUACAAGUCUUUCAUAUAAGGUAACCACUAUAAGUCUACUGAUUCUAGACAUUUAUUGAAUUAUGCGUACAUUCACAUACAUGACAAGGGUGCCAAUGUCUACCAAGUUAAGAGAUCACCUUCACAGAAUUUUCAUGUAUCAAUAAGAAGGAAAUAAGUCUAUCAAUAUAGACACAACAUUUGUCAUAUAAAAUAGUAAAUAACCUUCAAGUACCUAUUACGGACAACUAAUUCUACCAACACAAGAUGCUACAUCAUUCAAUAAGGACAUGUAACACACCCAAAAUUGAAUUAGGGAAAUAUAGAGCCUAACAUGAGUGUGUAAUGAUCUUAUAAGGUCUUAAAAUGACUAAUAAUAGUCUUAAGAUGAAGUGUGUAAUAUUUGGGAGUGUUAUGAGGUCAAACGUCUAAGACGUUCGAAAACUAGUCGAGGUUGAACUAGUGUGUCAUAGUAUUUUGUAGUGAGUUUUGGGGUAUGUUUUGAGGGUAAAAUUUAGUAUGACGUGUAAAGGAUUGAAACGUCUGAGAACGACGCCCCUAGGACCAGCCUAAGGGUCCCCAAGGAGGACCCAAACAUGGUCCAAGCAAGCUGCCGCGCCAGCAAAGAAUUGGCAGUAGCUGCGCGUCGCGUAGCCUGCAUUGAUAUGGGAAAAUUUUACCUGAGAUGCGAGUAUAUCACGAAUCAUUCUGUCUCAAAAUUUUUAAGAACCAAGAAUUGAAAAUGCCUCUGCGACGCGUAGUGACCUCAAAGAUUUGGCCUCGUCAUUUUUUUAUUCAAAUUAGAAUUGGUUAAAAUGUCCAUUAAGUUCAUGGGUCUUUUGGGAACUUUAGGGAUUAAUUAUUUGUGGUUAUUUUUUGUAUUUGAAGUAUAUAAAAUCAUUAAAAUAGCCAUUUAUACAUUAAACUCCAAAUCAAAACCUUUCUCUCACAAAAUUCUCCCUAAUCCACCAUUGAAGAAGAAGAGAAAUUGGAGGCAGCUUUAGGACGAAUUUACCAAGUUUUCAAGAUGGGUUUAAGGAUAUAAUAUAAGGUAUGUGAAGUUUAUUCAUAAAUGUAUUCUUCUAUUCAUGGAGUCCCCCCUAGUUUUCCAAAAUAGUAAAUCCAAAAUACCCAAUCUAGGAUGGGUUGUGAUUUCAUUGUGGGUAAGGCUUGAUUGUGAUCCCAAUCUAUUGGGUAGCGUUAAUUAAUAUUUAAAUUAUGAUUAUGUGAUGUUUUAAUAAGGUUUUCAUGGUGAAUUGUAGUAAUUGAUGUUGAAGGUGGUCAUGGUGAUUUUAGGUCAUUAGAAGUUAAAUGAAGGUUCUAAGUUGAUCUUGUUAAUUCAAUUGUAUUGUAUACUCCUUGAUCAUGAUUGAAUCACCUUGAUAUGAAUUGAACUAGGCCUAAUUGAUCUAGGCCGGUAUUGACUUGUAAAUUUUGAAUUGAACAUAUGUAAUCAUGUUUGGCUAGACUUACCUUCUAAUCAUUUAAUUCAAUGAAGUAAGAAUGUAAUUGAACAUAGAUCAUGAUGAAUUGAAGCUAGAAAUCGUUUAUGGGUUGGUAUGCCAUUGAUGUUAGGGCUUUGGGGGUGAAGUCAUUAUGAAGGGAAUAUGACGAUGUUUUUUCUACACUUAGACAUGAACAUGAUAGCAGAAGCAAGUUCUCUCACAUAGAUGUACUCUAGGUGGACCUAAUAACCAAAAAUUAAUCAAGACAUGACGGACUAGAUUAGAUUAAGGAUGGAUUGUAUGAUCACUUCUUGGGUGAUAGACUUGGUUAAACAAGACCAAGGCAUGACAGCUACAGAUGGUAGAUCUCAAAUGUAGCUUGAGAUAGUAAAUCUCAAGGAGGAUUGGGUUGACAUACUCAUGGUAGCUUGAGUGUUGAAUCUCGUGGUAUCUUGAGGUGAUGAUCUUCAUGGUAGAUUGGGAUAGAGGAAGAGCAUGUUUGGCUCAGCUUAAAAGCUGGUCAAACUGACUUAAAAGCUGGUUUUUGACUUAUUUAG